UACGUAGGGUCCGAGCGUUGUCCGGAAUUACUGGGCGUAAAGAGUUCGUAGGUGGUUUGUCGCGUUGUACCGUGAAAACUCACACGCUUACAGUGUGGCGUGCGGGCGAUACGGGCAGACUUGAGUUCGGUAGGGGAGACUGGAUUCCUGGUGUAGCGGUGAAAUGCGCAGAUAUCAGGAGGAACACCGGUGGCGAAGGCGGGUCUCUGGGCCGAUACUGACGCUGAGGAGCGAAAGCGUGGGGAGCGAACAGG
rnacentral:rRNA from 1 species